GUGGAGUCCAGGUGUUGGCUACAGUACUGAGCAGUGUACCGCAGUCCAUGACGCCACACAAAGAGAGAAUGGUUUCGACGGGGCUGGUCAAGACAUUGGGUUCCCUGUGUGAUGGUUCUAGACACA